rnacentral:rRNA from 1 species
CAAUAGCGUAUAUUAAAGCUGUUGCGGUUAAAAAGCUCGUAGUUGGAUUUCUGUCAAGGACAACUGGUCCGCCCUCCGGGUGAGCACAUAGUUUGGUCUUGACAUCUUGCUGGAAGCUGUUACUGCACUUGGCUGUGUGGCGCAGUGUUCAGCACUUUCACUUUGAGGAAAUUGGAGUGUUUCAAGCAGGCACAUGCCUUUGGACACAGUAGCAUGGAAUAAUUAGAUUGGGCUUUUGCUCCAAUUUGUCGGUUUCUGGAGCUGAGGUGAGUAUUAAUGGGGAUUGUUGGGGGCAUCCGAAUUUAGCCGUCAGAGGUGAAAUUCUUGGAUCUGCUAAAGACGGACAACUGCGAAAGCGUUUGCCCAGGAUGUUUUCAUUGA